rnacentral:rRNA from 1 species
UACGGAGGAUCCAAGCGUUAUCCGGAUUUAUUGGGUUUAAAGGGUGCGUAGGCGGCAGAUUAAGUUAGAGGUGAAAUUCCGAGGCUCAACCUUGGCACUGCCUCUGAUACUGGUUUGCUAGCGAGUAGAUGCUGUAGGCGGAAUGUGUGGUGUAGCGGUGAAAUGCAUAGAGAUCACACAGAACUCCGAUAGCGAAGGCAGCUUACCAGACUGCGACUGACGCUGAAGCACGAGAGCGUGGGUAGCGAACAGG